UGCCGACGACAGACCUACACACCUCGCGCUUUCUGAUCUGCAUUGCUAGUGCUGGCUAUCCAGUGCACCUUUGCGACUGGGGCUUGCACACACACGAUCCGGCGCACACGAGAUGGAGACGCUAGGGAAACCCGCACCAACGCCGCAUCCAACCCGCCUUCGAUCUUCCGCCCGCCGCUGCUCGGCCUGACCUUGACCCGCGCGUCUAUCCCGCCUGCUUUCUUCGGGGAAAUGGCAGGGUGGGCGCAGUGGGGUCGGUUGGACCUGGGUAGCGGUAGUGCCACAGGCGCUUUAAAGCGGUAGUAGACGAUCCUAACCCUAAGUUGAUUCGCGCCGAGCCCGGCUCUUCCCUUGUGCGACCGACCUUCGCUCACAGGUUUCCUCAGGGGGACCUAGAGAGUGUUGCUGGACUGCCAGGGGAAGGGUCGGAGUACCAGAGCCUGGUUGCUCUGCUCUGUGCAGCAGAAACACUGGGGGCAAAGACAGCCGCUACGGUGGUCGCGUCUCGAUCCAAGUGCCCCCGCGGUUACUGUCGACUCUGAUACGCAUGCUCUGGCUUAGGUCGAGGACGCUGUUUUGUGCAGCGCCGUGCUCCGCAAAGUUUGUGCUUUGGUUUCGCCUGCUGGUAAAGGACGGCGGCACGGUCUUACCUCGAUUCAAAACCACGGUUGCCCAGGCUGCAGGGGUUUGGUUGUUCUGUUCUUCUUGCCACCCUGUCAUUCGGCCUUCAAGGAAGAACGGAUGCCCGUUGGUGGGACUCCCCUCUCCACUCGCGCUGGAUCAUUGUGCCCGCGCCAGGCUGCUGGGGUUUUUUUUAGCAGAAUAGCGGGUUGUGGUUCUUGAGGCACCUUUACCCUCGUUGGUUGUUGGCUCACUGCGGUUCGGGUCGGUGCAGGAGAAGGGGUGGAACACUGCUCUGCGGAGGUAAGAGGGCGCUGGGUACCCAACCCGCCCCCUCGAGUGUAUCAGAGCUUCGUGCUCGACUGAACCCCUUUGCUUGCACCACGCCGAUCGCGCAGUCGACUACCACCAUACGACUAAUUUUUUCCCCCUUGCGACGC
rnacentral:telomerase_RNA from 1 species